UACAGAGGUCUCAAGCGUUGUUCGGAUUCAUUGGGCGUAAAGGGUGCGUAGGCGGCGCGGUAAGUCGGGUGUGAAAUCUCGGGGCUUAACUCCGAAACUGCAUUCGAUACUGCCGUGCUUGAGGACUGGAGAGGAGACUGGAAUUUACGGUGUAGCGGUGAAAUGCGUAGAUAUCGUAAGGAAGACCAGUGGCGAAGGCGAGUCUCUGGACAGCAACUGACGCUGAGGCACGAAGGCCAGGGGAGCAAACGGG
rnacentral:rRNA from 1 species